rnacentral:rRNA from 1 species
GCAAGCUACAAAGGGCGCUCGGUGGAUGCCUUGGCGAUGAGAGGCGAUGAAGGGCGUGGACAGCUGCGAAAAGCUCCGGGGAGCCGCUAACAGGCUACGAUCCGGGGAUACCCGAAUGGGACAACCCACCUCGAGGGAAACCUCUUGGUAUCCGUCACUGAAUUCAUAGGUGGCGAGAGGCAAACGCAGGGAAGUGAAACAUCUCAGUACCUGCUGGAAAAGAGAUCAAUAGAGAUUCCCCUAGUAGCGGCGAGCGAACGGGGACGAGCCUAAACCGGACUUCGCAAGAAGGCCGGGGUCGUGGGGCUCUCGACAUGGAACCUACAAACCGAUUGGAAGAGGCUUGGAACGGCCCGCCAUAGAAGGUGACAGCCCUGUAGAAGAAGGGGAGUAGGUCCUAGGGAGUACCCGAGUACCGCAGGACACGUGCAAUCCGGCGGGAAUCUGCGAGGACCAUCUCGCAAGGCUAAAUACUACUCAUCGACCGAUAGUGAACAAGUACCGUGAGGGAAAGGUGAAAAGAACCCCGAGAGGGGAGUGAAAUAGCACCUGAAACCGAGUGCCUACAAGCAGUGGGAGCACUAUGCCGCAAGGCAGUGUGACCGCGUACCUUUUGCAUAAUGGGCCUGCGAGUUGCGUUACGUAGCGAGGUUAAGCCGACGAGGUGUAGCCGAAGCGAAAGCGAGUCCGAACAGGGCGACUAGUUGCGUGACGCAGACCCGAAGCCCGGCGAUCUAUCCAUGGCCAGGUUGAAACGUGGGUAAUACCGCGUGGAGGACCGAACUCACUAACGUUGAAAAGUUAGGGGAUGAGCUGUGGAUAGGAGUGAAAGGCUAAUCAAGCCGGGGGAUAGCUGGUUCUCCCCGAAAUAUAUUUAGGUAUAGCCUCGAGUGAUCUGCGUCGGAGGUAAAGCACUGGAUGGGCUAGGGGUCUUACCGGAUUACCAAACCCAACCAAACUCUGAAUGCCGGCGACAGCAGCUCGGGAGACAGGCAGUGGGAGAUAAGUUUCAUUGCCGAGAGGGAAAGAGCCCAGAUCGUCAGCUAAGGUCCCAAAAUUCACGCUUAGUGGUAAAGGAUGUGGGAGCGCAUUGACAGCCAGGAGGUUGGCUUAGAAGCAGCCACCCUUUAAAGAAAGCGUAAUAGCUCACUGGUCAAGCGAGCCCGCGCCGAAAAUAUAACGGGGCUCAAGCGUGAUACCGAAGCUACGGGAAUGGUGACAUUCGGUAGGGGAGUAUUCUCGGACAGAUACACGGUGUACCGUAAGGAGCACUCUCGGGUCCGAGAAGAGCUUAUGCAGGCAUGAGUAGCGAUAAACCGGGUCGAAAACCCGGUCGCCGUAAGCCCAAGGUUUCCUGGGGAAGGAUAAGCCUCCCAUGGGUUAGUCGGAACCUAAGCCGAGGCCGAUAGGCGUAGGCGAUGGCAAGCAGGUUAAUAUUCCUGCACCGAGAUUGUACUUGAGCGUGGCGGGGACGGAGAAGGGUAUGUCCAGCCGGUGAUUGGUUGUGCCGGUUCAAACUCGUAGGGAGAGACUCUAGGACCCAAUAGGGACAAACGGAGUCUCACUAUCCCGAGAAGUGAUGAGGUUGGCCUUCGGGCCGCGAACUGGAUGAUCCCAGGCUUCCAAGAAAAGCCGCAACGCAUCGUACUUUCUCGUCCGUACCGCAAACCGACUCAGGUGGGCGGGGUGAAUAUCCCAAGGCGCGUGAGAGAACCCUGGCUAAGGAACUAGGCAAACUGACCCCGUAACUUCGGGAGAAGGGGUGCCGAUCGGCGUGUAGGCCUUCGCGGUCGAAGCGCUGGUCGGUCGCAGUGACCUGGGGGUUGCGACUGUUUACUAAAAACACAGGACUCUGCGAAGACGGAAGUCGACGUAUAGGGUCUGACGCCUGCCCGGUGCUGGAAGGUUAAGGGGAGGUGUUAGCCGCAAGGCGAAGCACCGAACCGAAGCCCCAGUAAACGGCGGCCGUAACUAUAACGGUCCUAAGGAAGCGAAAUUCCUUGUCGGGUAAGUUCCGACCUGCACGAAUGGCGUAACGACAUCCCCGCUGUCUCGGCCAGGGACUCAGCGAAAUUGUCCUGGGGGUGAAGAUACCCUCUUCCCGCAGCAAGACGGAAAGACCCCAUGAACCUUUACUGCAACUUGGCAGUGAGCUUCGGGUUGUUCUGCGUAGGAUAGGUGGGACCCUAUGAAAUCGGGCUUCUGGGCUCGGUGGAGGGAACGUUGAAAUACCACCCUGAAUAAUCUGGGGUUCUAACCCAGACCCGUGAUCCGGGUCGGGGACACUGCCUGGUGGGCAGUUUGACUGGGGCGGUCGCCUCCUAAAACGUAACGGAGGCGCACGAAGGUCACCUCAGGCUGAUUGGAAACCAGCCGUAGAGUGUAAAGGCAUAAGGUGGCUUGACUGCGAGACCGACAGGUCGAGCAGGUGCGAAAGCAGGUCUUAGUGAUCCGGUGGUCCCGUAUGGAAGGGCCAUCGCUUAACGGAUAAAAGGUACUCUGGGGAUAACAGGCUGAUCACGCCUGAGAGUUCACAUCGGCGGCGUGGUUUGGCACCUCGAUGUCGGCCCAUCGCAUCCUGGGGCUGGAGCAGGUCCCAAGGGUUCGGCUGUUCGCCGAUUAAAGCGGUACGCGAGCUGGGUUUAGAACGUCGUGAGACAGUUCGGUCCCUAUCUGCUGUGGGCGCAGGAUACUUGAGAGGACCUAUCCAUAGUACGAGAGGACCUGGAUGGACGCACCUCUGGUGAUCCGGUUGUUCCGCCAGGAGCAUCGCCGGGUAGCCAUGUGCGGAACGGAUAACCGCUGAAAGCAUCUAAGCGGGAAGCCGACCUCAAGAUUAGGUAUCCCUAUCAGGCACCAUGUAGACUACGUGGUUGAUAGGCCGGGUGUGGAAGUGCUGCGAGGCACGGAGCUAACCGGUACUAAUAAGCCGACUGGCUUGCCUUA